rnacentral:pre_miRNA from 1 species
UGUCCAACGUUUAAUCGUUCGUCUUAUUUAAAAUAUUAUAAAAAAAAUUAAAAAGACAAGUCACACAUAAAGUAUUGAUCAUGUUUUAUCAUUUAACAACAAACAAAAUACUAAUUAUAAAAAAAUUUCAUAUAAGACGGACAGUCAAACGUUGGACACGGAAACCCAGGUUUUGUCUUUUU